CACGUAGGGCGCAAGCGUUGUCCGGAAUUAUUGGGCGUAAAGAGCUCGUAGGCGGUCUGUUACGUCUGCUGUGAAAACCCUGGGCUUAACCCUGGGCUUGCAGUGGAUACGGGCAGACUAGAGGCAGGUAGGGGAGAAUGGAAUUCCUGGUGUAGCGGUGGAAUGCGCAGAUAUCAGGAGGAACACCGGUGGCGAAGGCGGGUCUCUGGGCAGUAACUGACGCUGAGGAGCGAAAGCGUGGGGAGCGAACAGG
rnacentral:rRNA from 1 species